rnacentral:lncRNA from 1 species
UGGGCUCUCUUCAGUAAGUCUGCUAAUCUAGCUCACUGCUUGCUGGCUGGCUUGUAUUCGGUUCAAAAUAAACUCGAAAUUCAUCACUCUUUUCAAGAAACGAGUUGAAUACGAGUUGAAGUUUUCAACUAAAAAUCUUAAUAAGUCGAAAACGAGCGAGGGGGAGAGAGAGAGAGAGAGAGAGGGUUGUGCUGAAAUAUUAUUAAUAAUAUAAUACUAUUCACUUUAUGAUUAUUAGACGCUUAGGUUUGAGUGGAUGAUUGGUAUAAUACUAAUAUUCUAAGUAUGAAAAAGUGGAUAGUAUGUAUUAUUAGUAGUCUCCUAACUGAACUCUCUCUCUCUCUAUUAUAAUACUAAUAUUUCAAGGAUGGAAAAGUGGAUACUCGAUUAUGGUGUUUUUAAAAACAGUAAGCACUUGAUGUUUGUAAAUUUUCAGCCGUUAGAUUUACCAUUUUAAUUAUUUUCACUCGUUAUUUUAUAUUAUUCAACCAACUACUCGCUCAAUUCUAAAGGACCAUUAUUAUUCUAAUCGCACAUUUCUUAAUCUAAGAGUCGAAAACAUAUACAUAUAUAUAUAUAGAAUUAGGCUGGAAUACUAUUAAUAGUAAAACGCUCUUUUUGCUAUCAAAUUUUUAACCCUUGGAUGAAAAAUUGUAGGGUUAGGAUGAUAUUAGUCGGUUAGAGUUGAAUGGUCCCCCUAGGGUUGAGUGGUCCCCACUGGGUUAUAGUAUUUAAUCCAAUGGUUAGAAAUAAUGAAAAGAGUUGAUCCAAAGGCUAAAAAACUGAUAGCAACAAUAGGAUUUUGCUACUAAUAGUAGAGUCCAACUCUAUAUAUAUAUAUAAAUUGAGCUCUUAUGCUUUUAAAAGCACCAAGCGAUUGGUGCUUGUGGGUUUUCUGCCUUCAUCCCCUAUGCUUUUAAAAGCACAAAGUUGUUGGUGCUUGUAGAUUUUCGGCCUUCGAAUGAAGAUUUGUAGGUUUAAGGUAAUAGUUGUCCUAUAGGUUGAUGAAAUAGUAUGAUCUAAGGGAGGGAAUUGGUCAACACCAUAGUCGGUCUAUAUAUAUAUA